UUCGCCACAGGGGUCGUUGCAGAGUCAGUGACCCAACCAACCUCCAUGACCAGGCAAUGGCUCUAACGCCUUCUUCUUCAUCCCAUACUCUCCUCCAAUUUCCGCUCCCCACUCACUCCACAACCACUCACUGCUUCCUCUUCUCCGACCUCACCGUCAGCUCUAGCCUUUUCCGGUCGCCAUGUACACCGUCGCUGCUUUCGUCUUGCCGGAGCAAGAUCUCUGCGAUUUCUCCGAUCGUAGUAUCCAGGGCGAAAUGCUCUGCGAAAUCUACGGCGGAGGAGGACCUGUUGUCGGAACCGGAAACCCUAGCUUCCGGUGGUGGCGACGACGACGACGAUGCGAAGGUCCAGGACCAGAGCUCGGUGGCUGCCAGUAGACCUAUUGGUUCGCCGAGAGUCGCGACUUCGCUGAGUGAAUCUCUCUCCCUCGGGAUUCGCGAGCCGGUUUACGAGGUGGUAGAAGUGACGUCAAAUGGGAUAGUAUCUACUAGGAAAAUUAACAGACGCCAGUUAUUGAAAUCAAGCGGUCUUCGUCCACGGGAUAUCCGAAGUGUCGAUCCAUCGUUGUUUUUAACGAACUCGGUGCCUUCAUUGCUGGUACGUGAGCAUGCUAUUCUUCUGAAUCUGGGUUCAUUGCGAGCUAUGGCAAUGCAAGAGCGUGUCCUUAUUUUUGACUACAACAGUAAAGGAGGGAAGGCCUUCAGAGAAAUCUUGCUGAAAAACGUGAAUGGAGGGCCAUGUAUGCCAUUUUCUCUUGAGGUUGUUGAAGCGGCAUUGCUUUCACGCAUACAGCAUUUGGAGCAGAAAUUAAUCAAUUUAGAACCUCGAGUACAAGCUCUACUUGAGGUUUUACCGAACCGAUUAACUGGUGACAUAUUGGAGGAACUUCGUACGAGCAAGCAAACCUUGGUUGAAUUGGGUUCAAGGGCAGGGGCUCUCAGACAAAUGCUGCUUGAUCUUCUAGAGGACCCUCAUGAAAUACGCCGUAUAUGUAUUAUGGGAAGAAACUGCACGCUUAAGAAAGGAAAUGAUGACAUGGAAUGCUCUGUACCCUUAGAGAAGCAGAUUGCUGAGGAAGAGGAGGAAGAAAUUGAGAUGCUGCUGGAAAAUUAUCUUCAAAGAUGUGAAUCUUGUCAUGGUCAGGCUGAAAGGCUUCUUGACUCUGCAAAGGAAAUGGAAGAUUCAAUUGCUGUCAGUUUGAGUUCUCGGAGGCUUGAGGUUAGCAGAGUGGAAUUGCUUCUCCAGGUUGGGACAUUUUGUGUGGCAGUUGGAGCUCUAGUUGCAGGUAUUUUUGGCAUGAACUUGAAGUCCUAUAUUGAAGAACAUGUGUUUGCGUUUUGGCUAACAACAGCUGGGAUAAUUUUUGGUGCUGUUGUCGCUUUUUUCCUUAUGUACUCCUAUCUCAAGACAAGGAAGAUACUGUGAAAUUUCGUCAAAGAGCAUUUGGUUCGGUUCCAGCUAAUUGGUAAAUUAUACAAGAGGGUCCUGUAUUCUUCUCAUCACGCUUCAUAUAAUUUUCAUUAAAGAUUAUUGGUUGGCUGUAUGAACUUUCAUAAAUAGUUCCUCAAUUGCUCCAGAUACUGGCAGUGUUGAAGGUCUCGUCAGUUUCUGAGCCAUUUGUUUAUCCAACAAGAUUAGCAGUAACUUGUGUUAGGUCAGGAAGAUGAAGGUCAAUAUAGGCUGGAAGAAAGACCCAAGCGUUAUUUCUGAAUCCUGGUGGUUUUAUUUAGUUUAGGCAGCAUGAGUCGAUGCCUUCCUUUAUUUGACAAUCCUUUGAUAUAGAGCGUUCACUAUGCGGUUACUAUUAUGGAGGUAAGCCUUUUUGUUUUCUUCUUUUCCCCUCUCUUCCUCUCUUGAUUACUGUAAUUCAUCCCUAGCACAACCUAUCACUCAGCCGCCAAGCUUGUAAAUUUGUAAUAUAUAUAUAUAACCAGGUGAUCAAUCAUAUCAACUCAUCAAGUAAUUCGAAGC